GAUGAACGCUGGCGGCGUGCUUAAUACAUGCAAGUCGAACGGAGUGUUAGCAAUAGCACUUAGUGGCGAACGGGUGAGUAACGCGUUGGUGACCUGCCCUGCACUUUGGGAUAAGCCUGGGAAACUGGGUCUAAUACCGAAUACACCCUGCUGGCCGCAUGGUCUGGUGGGGGAAAGCUUUUGCGGUGUGGGAUGGGCCCGCGGCCUAUCAGCUUGUUGGUGGGGUGAUGGCCUACCAAGGCGACGACGGGUAGCCGGCCUGAGAGGGUGUCCGGCCACACUGGGACUGAGAUACGGCCCAGACUCCUACGGGAGGCAG
rnacentral:rRNA from 1 species